rnacentral:rRNA from 1 species
AGCGAACGCUGGCGGCAGGCCUAACACAUGCAAGUCGAACGAACCUUUCGGGGUUAGUGGCGGACGGGUGAGUAACACGUGGGAACGUGCCUUUAGGUUCGGAAUAACUCAAGGAAACUUGUGCUAAUACCGAAUGUGCCCUUCGGGGGAAAGAUUUAUCGCCUUUAGAGCGGCCCGCGUCUGAUUAGCUAGUUGGUUGAGGUAAUGGCUCACCAAGGCGACGUUCAGUAGAUGGUCUGAGAGGAUGUUAAGCCACCAUGGGGCUGAGACCCGGCCCAAAAUCCUACGGGAGGGAGGAAUGGGGGAUGUUGCGCAAUGGGGGGAAGGCUGAAGGAGCCAUGCCCGUGGAAUUAUGAAAGUAUUAGGAUUGUAAAAUUCUUUCACCGGGGAAGAUAAUGACGGUACCCGGAGAAGAAGCCCCGGCUAACUUCGUG